rnacentral:lncRNA from 1 species
UUGGCUCGUUUAAUUUUUUUGAAAUUUUGACACAGAUUUUACUUUGACCCUUUGACAAAAAUAUAAAAACUUUAAAAAAAUUGAACCAACCGUUUUAUCAGAAAAAUUACACUGGUUAUAUAGCAGUUUGACAAACUCUUAUUUUGAUCAUUGAGAAGCUUAAUUUUCCCUUAACAACACAACGUAAUUAAAACGUUUAGUUGAUUUUACAGAGUU